rnacentral:rRNA from 1 species
UACAGAGGGGGCAAGCGUUGUUCGGAAUUACUGGGCGUAAAGGGUGCGUAGGCGGGCUAUUAAGUCAGUGGUGAAAGCCCCAAGCUUAACUUGGGAACUGCCAUUGAUACUGAUGGUCUUGAGUACAUUUGAGGUGGGCGGAAUGUGUCAUGUAGCGGUGAAAUGCUUAGAUAUGACACAGAACACCGAUUGCGAAGGCAGCUCACUAAACUGUAACUGACGCUGAGGCACGAAAGCGUGGGGAGCAAACAGG